GACGAACGCUGGCGGCGUGCUUAACACAUGCAAGUCGAACGAAGUGGCGAACGGGUGAGUAACGCGUAAUCAACCUGCCCUUCAGAGGGGGACAACAGUUGGAAACGACUGCUAAUACCGCAUACUGAAGGAGGGGAUUGCGUCUGAUUAGCUGGUUGGAGGGGUAACGGCCCACCGAGGCGAUGAUCAGUAGCCGGGCUGAGAGGAUGAACGGCAAGAUUGGGAAUGAGACACGGCCCAGACUGCUACGGGAGGAAGCAGUGGGGACACUGAGGAAAUGGACGAAAGUCUGACGGAGCAACGCCGCGUGAGUGAUGACGGCUUUCAGGUUGUAAAGCUUUGUUAAUCGGGACGCGGUACCGGAAUAGAAAGCCACGGCUAACUACGUGCCAGCAGCCGCGGUAAUAC
rnacentral:rRNA from 1 species